AGCGAACGCUGGCGGCAGGCUUAACACAUGCAAGUCGAGCGGGCAUCCUUGUGGUGUCAGCGGCAGACGGGUGAGUAACGCGUGGGAAAGUGCCCUUCGGUUCGGAAUAACUCAGGGAAACUUGAGCUAAUACCGGAUACGUGCGAGAGCAGAAAGGUUUAUCUGCCGAAGGAUCGGCCCGCGUCUGAUUAGCUAGUUGGUGAGGUUACGGCUCACCAAGGCGACGAUCAGUAGCUGGUCUGAGAGGAUGAUCAGCCACACUGGGACUGAGACACGGCCCAGACUCCUACGGGAGGCAGCAGUGGGGAAUAUUGGACAAUGGGGGCAACCCUGAUCCAGCCAUGCCGCGUGAGUGAUGACGGCCUUAGGGUUGUAAAGCUCUUUUCUCCGGGACGAUAAUGACGGUACCGGAGGAAUAAGCCCCGGCUAACUUCGUG
rnacentral:rRNA from 1 species